CUGACAGGAAGCGGGGCUCAGGCAGUAACGUUCGCUUGCUGCUACUCUCCUUCUGCUGUGUGGCCUGUUUCCUAUCAGGCCAUGGACUGGUACUGGUCCGAGGCCUGGGGAUUGGGGACCCCUAGUAUAAGGAGUGUAAUGGCACCACCCCACCACAAUGGCCGCAGGCACCCAUGGGACUGAAAGGUCAAGAGUUAACUUUUAUGCAAAAGGCUUUUUUCCUUUUAGAAGACAUUUUACUAGGCCAGGACCCCAACUAUCACUGUUUAUAUUCUCCAUAAAGUUUUAUUUAUGAAAAAGGAUUUGUGAGGCUGGUCUUAAGUUAUAGCCAAUCUGGAGUGGUUCACAUGUCUUUACGGUUCUGUCAAAAAGAGGGGUAUCUUAGGAUGGGAUAUGGGCCCAGGACUCCAUAGGCCCUCUAUUAAAGACAGUCUGGUAAACUGGUCAGUGGCAAACUUCGCUGCAGGCCUUCAUCUUGUUUUAUGUCCUUGGAAGCAUGACCUGUAAGCAGGUGGCAGUGCUUUUAGCCUCCAACAUUUU
rnacentral:lncRNA from 1 species